rnacentral:tRNA from 1 species
AGAAUAGCUCAAUUGGUAGAGCAACGGUCUCCAAAACCGUAGGUUGGGGGUUCGAGUCCCUCUUCUC